rnacentral:rRNA from 1 species
UACGUAGGGGGCUAGCGUUGCUCGGAAUUACUGGGCGUAAAGGGCGCGUAGGCGGCUUAGUUAGUCAGGCGUGAAAUUCCUGGGCUCAACCUGGGGACUGCGCUUGAUACGGCUAGGCUAGAGGAUGGAAGAGGUCGCGGAAUUCCCAGUGUAGAGGUGAAAUUCGUAGAUAUUGGGAAGAACACCGGUGGCGAAGGCGGCGACCUGGUCCAUUACUGACGCUGAGGCGCGACAGCGUGGGGAGCAAACGAGG